rnacentral:rRNA from 1 species
GAUGAACGCUGGCGGCGUGCCUAAUACAUGCAAGUCGAGCGAACGGACGAGAAGCUGGCUUCUCUGAGGUUAGCGGCGGACGGGUGAGUAACACGUGGAUAACCUACCUAUAAGACUGGGAUAACUACGGGAAACCGGAGCUAAUACCGGAUAAUAUUUUGAACCGCAUGGUUCAAAGUGAAAGACGGUCUUGCGGUCACUUAUAGAUCGAUCCGCGCUGCAUUAGCUAGUUGGUAAGGUAACGGCUUACCAAGGCAACGAUGCAUAGCCGACCUGAGAGGGUGAUCGGCCACACUGGAACUGAGACACGGUCCAGACUCCUACGGGAGGCCGCAGUAGGGAAUCUUCCGCAAUGGACGAAAGCCUGACGGAGCAACGCCGCGUGAGUGAUGAAGGUCUUAGGAUCGUAAAACUCUGUUAUUAGGGAAGAACAAAUGUGUAAGUAACUGUGCACAUCUUGACGGUGCCUGAUCAAAAAGCCACGGCUAACUACGUG